rnacentral:rRNA from 1 species
UUGCCUUAGUAACGGCGAGUGAAGCGGCAACAGCUCAAAUUUGAAAGCUGGCUCCUUUGGAGUCCGCGUUGUAAUUUGUAGAGGAUGAUUCGGCAAGGGCUCCCGCCUAAGUCUCCUGGAACGGAGCGUCAUAGAGGGUGAGAAUCCCGUAUGCGGUGGGCUGCCUAAGCCAUGUGAAUCUCCUUCGACGAGUCGAGUUGUUUGGGAAUGCAGCUCUAAAUGGGAGGUAAAUUUCUUCUAAAGCUAAAUACCGGCCAGAGACCGAUAGCGCACAAGUAGAGUGAUCGAAAGAUGAAAAGCACUUUGGAAAGAGAGUUAAAAAGUACGUGAAAUUGUUGAAAGGGAAGCGCUUGCAGCCAGACUUGUCCGCAGUUGCUCAGCCGGUCUCCUGACCGGUGUACUCUUCUGCGGCCAGGCCAGCAUCAGUUCGGGCGGUCGGAUAAAGACCUCGGGAAUGUAGCUCCUCUCGGGGAGUGUUAUAGCCCGGGGUGGAAUGCGGCCAGCCUGGACUGAGGAUCUCGCUUCGGCUAGGAUGCUGGCGUAAUGGCUGUAAGCGGCCCGUCUUGAAACACGGACCAAGGAGUCUAACAUCUAUGCGAGUGUUUGGGUGUCAAACCCAUGCGCGUAAUGAAAGUGAACGGAGGUGGGAACCCUCACGGGUGCACCAUCGACCGAUCCUGAUGUCUUCGGAUGGAUUUGAGUAAGAGCAUAGCUGUUGGGACCCGAAAGAUGGUGAACUAUGCCUGAAUAGGGUGAAGCCAGAGGAAACUCUGGUGGAGGCUCGCAGCGGUUCUGACGUGCAAAUCGAUCGUCAAAUUUGGGUAUAGGGGCGAAAGACUAAUCGA